rnacentral:rRNA from 1 species
UACAGAGGGUGCAAGCGUUAAUCGGAAUUACUGGGCGUAAAGCGUGCGUAGUCGGUUAUCUAAGUCGGGUGUGAAAUCCCCGGGCUCAACCUGGGAAUUGCAUUCGAUACUGGAUAGCUAGAGUUCGGCAGAGGGAAGCGGAAUUUCCGGUGUAGCGGUGAAAUGCGUAGAUAUCGUAAGGAAGACCAGUGGCGAAGGCGGGUCUCUGGACAGUUCCUGACACUGAGACACGAAGGCCAGGGGAGCAAACGGG